rnacentral:rRNA from 1 species
AUUGAACGCUGGCGGCAGGCCUAACACAUGCAAGUCGAACGGUAACAGGAAGCAGCUUGCUGCUUCGCUGACGAGUGGCGGACGGGUGAGUAAUGUCUGGGAAGCUGCCUGAUGGAGGGGGAUAACUACUGGAAACGGUAGCUAAUACCGCAUAAUGUCGUAAGACCAAAGAGGGGGACCUUCGGGCCUCUUGCCAUCGGAUGUGCCCAGAUGGGAUUAGCUUGUUGGUGGGGUAACGGCUCACCAAGGCGACGAUCCCUAGCUGGUCUGAGAGGAUGACCAGCCACACUGGAACUGAGACACGGUCCAGACUCCUACGGGAGGCAGCAGUGGGGAAUAUUGCACAAUGGGCGCAAGCCUGAUGCAGCCAUGCCGCGUGUAUGAAGAAGGCCUUCGGGUUGUAAAGUACUUUCAGCGGGGAGGAAGGGAGUAAAGUUAAUACCUUUGCUCAUUGACGUUACCCGCAGAAGAAGCACCGGCUAACUCCGUG